rnacentral:rRNA from 1 species
GAGUAGCUUGCUACUCUGCUGACGAGCGGCGGACGGGUGAGUAAUGCUUGGGAAUAUGCCUUAUGGUGGGGGACAACAGUUGGAAACGACUGCUAAUACCGCAUGAUGUCUACGGACCAAAGUGGGGGACCUUCGGGCCUCACGCCAUAAGAUUAGCCCAAGUGGGAUUAGCUAGUUGGUGAGGUAAUGGCUCACCAAGGCGACGAUCCCUAGCUGGUUUGAGAGGAUGAUCAGCCACACUGGGACUGAGACACGGCCCAGACUCCUACGGGAGGCAGCAGUGGGGAAUAUUGCACAAUGGGCGCAAGCCUGAUGCAGCCAUGCCGCGUGUGUGAAGAAGGCCUUCGGGUUGUAAAGCACUUUCAGUAAGGAGGAAAGGUUAAGUGUUAAUAGCACUUAGCUGUGACGUUACUUACAGAAGAAGCACCGGCUAACUCCGUGCCAGCAGCCGCGGUAAUACGGAGGGUGCGAGCGUUAAUCGGAAUUACUGGGCGUAAAGCGUACGCAGGCGGUUUGUUAAGCGAGAUGUGAAAGCCCCGGGCUCAACCUGGGAACUGCAUUUCGAACUGGCAAACUAGAGUGUGAUAGAGGGUGGUAGAAUUUCAGGUGUAGCGGUGAAAUGCGUAGAGAUCUGAAGGA